GAUGAAGAACGUAGCGAAACGCGAUACGUAAUGUGAAUUGCAGAAUUCAGUGAAUCAUCGAAUCUUUGAACGCAUAUUGCGCUCUCUGGUAUUCCGGAGAGCAUGCUUGUUUGAGUAUCAGUAAACACCUCAACUUCCAUAUCUUUUUUGAAAUGGGAGUUGGACUUGAGUGAUCCCAACGCUUUUCCUCACCGAAAAGUGGCGGGUUACUUGAAAUGCAGGUGCAGCUGGACUUUUCUCUGAGCUAUAAGCAUAUCUAUUUAGUCUGCCUAAAAAACAGAUUAUUACCUUUGCUGCAGCUAACAUAAAGGAGAUUAGUUCUUGUGCUGACUGAUGCAGGAUUCACAAAGACAGGCUUCGGCCGACUUUGUAAACUCGAUCUCAAAUCAAGUAAGACUACCCGCUGAACUUAAGCAUAUAAAUAAGCGGAGGA
rnacentral:misc_RNA from 1 species